GGAGGGAUACGAAGUGACUAAGAAAAAACAAUUGCAAACACUUAAACUGACAGAGGUGACUGCAAACGAUAAGCUGGAGAGUUUUCAUGCAGUAAAAAAGGUCCUCAAGGUUCAUAUUGCAGUUGGGAAUGCUCAAUUUCCUAAUGGAACCAACGGUAAUGCCCUAGACAUUCUUGCUUGAGUUCCACUAUAGAAAAAUGGUCUUGAUUAUCGGCAUGGUACAGGCCACGGAAUUGGCUCUUACCUUAAUGUUCAUGAAGGCAAGUGUGUUUUACUACUUUCCUCUAUUAUUACUGGGUAUGAGCUAUUGUCUCAAUUGUUAGAUUUGAACAUUUAUACUUCUUUAUGGAUACUCUAGGUAUUUAAUUAUUUUCUUUGAAACUUGUAUGCUAAAUAUUGUAACUAACCGCAAAUAUUUCGUUUGAUUUCAUCCAAGUAUCAAAUCGGUCUUCGUUAUAGUGGAGGUGCCCUGUAUGCUUUUAAUGCUAUCACUAAAGUUUGGCAUUAUACCAAUUGUGGUGCCAAUUGGUGUUCGAGAUUUUGAUAUUAAUGGGGAACUUUGGGUCAAAUUAGGAUUGAUACCAACAGAGCCUUUUGUAGGAGUUUUAAUAUUCUCUAGAUUUUAUUCAUAAAACACUUGUACAUUUUU